AAGACCUAGCAAUAGGUAUGCUUAGGGAGGAGCUUGCGUCACAUUAGUUAGUUGGUGGGGUAAAGGCCUACCAAGACUAUGAUGUGUAGCCGGGCUGAGAGGUUGAACGGCCACAUUGGGACUGAGACACGGCCCAAACUCCUACGGGAGGCAGCAGUAGGGAAUUUUCGGCAAUGGAGGAAACUCUGACCGAGCAACGCCGCGUGAACGAUGAAGUAUUUCGGUACGUAAAGUUCUUUUAUUAGGGAAGAAUAAAUGAUGGAAAAAUCAUUCUGACGGUACCUAAUGAAUAAGCCCCGGCUAACUAUGUGCCAGCAGCCGCGGUAAUACAUAGGGGGCAAGCGUUAUCCGGAAUUAUUGGGCGUAAAGGGUGCGUAGGCGGUUAAAUAAGUUUAUGGUCUAAGUGCAAUGCUCAACAUUGUGAUGCUAUAAAAACUGUUUAGCUAGAGUAAGAUAGAGGCAAGUGGAAUUCCAUGUGUAGUGGUAAAAUGCGUAAAUAUAUGGAGGAACACCAGUAGCGAAGGCGGCUUGCUGGGUCUUUACUGACGCUGAGGCACGAAAGCGUGGGGAGCAAACAGGAUUAGAUACCCUGGUAGUCCACGCCGUAAACGAUGAGUACUAAACGUUGGGUAAAACCAGUGUUGAAGUUAACACAUUAAGUACUCCGCCUGAGUAGUACGUACGCAAGUAUGAAACUUAAAGGAAUUGACGGGACUCCGCACAAGCGGUGGAUCAUGUUGUUUAAUUCGAAGGUACCCGAAAAACCUCACCAGGUCUUGACAUGCUUCUGCAAAGCUGUAGAAACACAGUGGAGGUUAUCAGUUGCACAGGUGGUGCAUGGUUGUCGUCAGCUCGUGUCGUGAGAUGUUGGGUUAAGUCCCGCAACGAGCGCAACCCUUAUUGUUAGUUACCAGCACGUAAUGGUGGGGACUUUAGCAAGACUGCCAGUGAUAAAUUGGAGGAAGGUGGGGACGACGUCAAAUCAUCAUGCCCCUUAUGACCUGGGCUACAAACGUGAUACAAUGGCUGUUACAAAGGGUAGCUGAAGCGCAAGUUUUUGGCAAAUCUCAAAAAAACAGUCUCAGUUCGGAUUGAAGUCUGCAACUCGACUUCAUGAAGUUGGAAUCGCUAGUAAUCGCG
rnacentral:rRNA from 1 species